UUGCAGCCAAGUAAGCCUAAUGCACUCUUUUCCCAGGGGGACUCAGUGUGCAGUGGCUACAAACAGCAGCCUCCUCAGUAGUUUAUGUAGCCUGUUGCCUGUAGAGGUUGCCCUAAGGGACCCUAGCAUCAGCC
ensembl:snoRNA SNORA70 Small nucleolar RNA SNORA70